UACAGGGGGUGCAAACGUUGCUCGGAAUUAUUGGGCGUAAAGGGCGCGUAGGCGGCUUUCUAAGUCAAAGGUGAAAUCCCUCGGCUCAACUGAGGAACUGCCUUUGAAACUGGACGGCUUGAGGCCGGGAGAGGGUAGCGGAAUUCCCAGUGUAGCGGUGAAAUGCGUAGAUACUGGGAGGAACACCGGUGGCGAAGGCGGCUACCUGGACCGGUUCUGACGCUGAGGCGCGAAAGCGUGGGUAGCAAACAGG
rnacentral:rRNA from 1 species